rnacentral:lncRNA from 1 species
GGUUAACACACAACCAUGCGUUAAGAUGCCAACAUUUUUGUUUCUGAGAAGGAGUGAAACACGACCAUGUUUUUAGAAGACAUGGUCGUGUGCCUUAUACUAGGUUAACAUACAACCAUGUGUUAAGAAGGCAACGUUUUUUGUUUCACUUAGUGAAAGAGACACAACUGUGUGUCUGGGAGACAUGAUCAUGUGGUGUCUAAAAGCUAAAAAUUGAUGUAAUUUCAAGGAAGACACGGUUGUGUGUCAAUUCAACACGGCCGUGGGACAUGCCAGAUCCGAUUUGGACUCAGUCAAAAUAUUAGGUCUUAAAUGAUAUAAAAAUGGGAUUAUCUCAAAAGAAAAAGGGAGACCAGAGGAGGAGAAACGAGAAGACGGUUGCAACAUUAAGAGCUUUUUCUAGUGGGUUAUUCUUAAUCAUUUCAUGUUUCAUUUGGUUUUGAUUCUUGCAAUUCUUUGUAGGAUGUGUAACUAAACUUUU